AUCAAAUAGAUUACGAAAGUGCUAAUGCCGCAAUAAAAGUUUCGUGAACGAUUACAAUAAUUGAUUAAUUUUCCUGAUUAAAAUGAGAUCAAAGACAACAGAAUUCGAAAUACAUUCAUUUGUAAUUUCAAGUAUUACUAUCAUGCAGUAAAGUUUGGAUAUAAACAGAUUUUUCGGAUCCGAGUUUUCAUGUGCAUCGUGCAGCUUCGACACUGAACGACGUUUGCCGAACGCAGAAAAGUAGCGAGCGACGGAAACGUCCGAAUAUAAAAAAAUAUAUCGGUGAAAGAAUCCUAAUGAAAGAAUAAAACUAUUCUGUUUUUUGCUUCUUGUUAUGGAAACUUUUACCAGCAUAGUUAUGACAUUUUCCUAAUUAAAAUGAGACCAAACACAACGUAAUUCAGAACACAUUCGUAGAUUCAAACAUUUUCUUUACACCAAUGUCUUAACUGUAGUAAUUUGGCGGUAAAAGGACGAAUAGUGACACGUCGGAUAACUUCGUUUCCCUUCGGUGUUAUUCGGAUAAUCACGUGAUACAUCUAACCGUCAAAAUCGUAAACUGCUAUGAAGCGUCUAAAUGCGAUUGAAAAAAAGUGAUUAAAGAUUCAAGAUUAUUAUAAUUCUAAUAAAGAUUCGAAAUAAGUGAAUCUCUCGACUCUAAACUUCUGCCAAUAUCAUGCAGUUCUGACAAUGAACGAAGUUUACCGAGCGUAGAAAAGUAGCAAGCGACAAAAACGUUCGAACGACAGAACGUAAGCAAACAGCAACAAAAAAUGGACUUCUCCCAUUUUCAAAAUAAACAGCUCGGAUACUGUAUAUAAAAGGUAGGUAAAAUAGCAGAUAAAAUUAUUCGGUCCUUUGGAAAGAUGAGUUCCAGCUUCAGAAUUUCAGAUACAAACGAAUGGCUUUGUAAUCAGGGUGUGUGCAAUUCCACGCUCGGUGGCUUUAAUGGGCGAGGCUCCAGUAGCUUCCUACACUCGCAUAACGUAGAACAAUAUCCCACGGUUUCCUAAAUGCGUGUCUGGCCGCGUGAAUGCGUGGCUGUGCCACUAAUUUGGCUAAUUUCACGCAUGUGGGCUCAUUCUUCGGAUACACUUUCAUCUCGCGUGAGUACGGCUCUCAAAGGAUCAUCGUUACCCGUCCCGUAAUUCUGCCGAGGAACGCGAAACGGCGGCACGUUCCCACGACAGCUUCUUUCUAUUCUUCUCAUAUGCAUCAAUGUUACUGGGUGAUUGUUAAAUUUUUUAUGUCUGCACUGCUUUCUUCUCAACGAAAUCUUCCCUUUAUUAUACUUGUGAUCAGAUGAAAUUGGUAAAUUCUCAGAAAAAUCCUAUCUGAGUAUAUAGAGUCAUGUACGGGCCCUAACUAUAUCUAUAUAUCUGGAAAUCACUGUAUUUGAACAUCGAUGGACAGAAAAAUUUUGAGAUCGCUACUGUGUCCUAACCACGUGUGUACGGUCCCUCUCUGAUGAAAGAGGGAUGCUGUACACUUUUUUUGCGGCCCGCUUUCUUGUAUCGUAUAAUAGCACGGCUUGCGUUACAUCCGUGUCGUGUUACCCACAUGCCUUACAGGCCUAUUCAAAAAUCGCUACGGACCAUCGAUGACGACUCGAACAGACAACCCUAUCGCCUCGAGAAUAUCCUAUUUCAUCGACAGAUUCUGUGCAACGGCAUCUUCGAUACUUUGUCGCAACUGAAACAUCCGUGAACACGCAAGAUCCAGUGAUUCAAAUUAUAUCUGGUCGAAUCGCGUUAAACUAAACCGCAGCUUAUUAUAUCUACAUCAGCUCGUAUAAAUUGAUCCUCGAUGCUUCUACAAAUUAAUCUUCGAUGCUCGUUUAUAAUUGAAUUAAAGAUGGCAUCAAUCGAAUCAUGCUGUGCUAAUAUUAACUCCUAUAGCUUCAGUCUACAAGUUUGUUCCAUUUCGAAUAUAAUAUGUAUUAGGAAACUUGCAAUUUCUAGACCGUUUGAUGCUCAGCAAGGGGUAAUGGCGGUGCUUUGAUCGUACCAAUGAAACGUAAGCCGAAUGUCCUAAUGUUCAAACGAGUCUGGUAAUUAACAAUUAAGUGGGAAUUUCGUUAAUAAUAUUUCUGCUUAUUUUUAACGUUCAAACUAAUCAAAAUGUAACAGCAAAAUGUGUUAGUUUUACAUAGAUAUAAUUAUAAGUUUUUAUGAUUUCUUAUAUCACGUGAAAA